rnacentral:rRNA from 1 species
UACGUAGGGUGCGAGCGUUAUCCGGAAUGAUUGGGCGUAAAGCGUCCGCAGGUGGCAAUGUAAGUCUGCUGUCAAAGCGCCUGGCUCAACCAGAUAAAGGCAGUGGAAACUACAUAGCUAGAGUAAGGUAGGGGUAGAGGGAAUUCCUGGUGUAGCGGUGAAAUGCGUAGAGAUCAGGAAGAACACCGGUGGCGAAAGCGCUCUGCUGGACCUUAACUGACACUGAGGGACGAAAGCUAGGGGAGCGAAUGGG